rnacentral:rRNA from 1 species
ACGGGAGGCAGCAGUGGGGAAUAUUGCACAAUGGGGGAAACCCUGAUGCAGCGACGCCGCGUGAGUGAAGAAGUAUUUCGGUAUGUAAAGCUCUAUCAGCAGGGAAGAAAAUGACGGUACCUGACUAAGGAGCUCCGGCUAAAUACGUGCCAGCAGCCGCGGUAAUACGUAUGGAGCAAGCGUUAUCCGGAUUUACUGGGUGUAAAGGGAGCGUAGACGGCGAGGCAAGUCUGAUGUGAAAGCUAUGGGCUCAACCCAUAAACUGCAUUGGAAACUGUCUUGCUUGAGUGUCGGAGAGGUAAGCGGAAUUCCUAGUGUAGCGGUGAAAUGCGUAGAUAUUAGGAGGAACACUAGUGGCGAAGGCGGCUUACUGGACGAUAACUGACGUUGAGGCUCGAAAGCGUGGGGAGCAAACAGGAUUAGAUACCCUGGUA